UACGAAGGGGGCUAGCGUUGUUCGGAAUUACUGGGCGUAAAGCGCACGUAGGCGGAUAUUUAAGUCAGGGGUGAAAUCCCAGAGCUCAACUCUGGGACUGCCUUUGAUACUGGGUAUCUUGAGUAUGGAAGAGGUAAGUGGAAUUGCGAGUGUAGAGGUGAAAUUCGUAGAUAUUCGCAGGAACACCAGUGGCGAAGGCGGCUUACUGGUCCAUAACUGACGCUGAGG
rnacentral:rRNA from 1 species